GAUGAACGCUGGCGGCGUGCCUAAUACAUGCAAGUCGAGCGAACGGACGAGAAGCUUGCUUCUCUGAUGUUAGCGGCGGACGGGUGAGUAACACGUGGAUAACCUACCUAUAAGACUGGGAUAACUUCGGGAAACCGGAGCUAAUACCGGAUAAUAUUUUGAACCGCAUGGUUCAAAAGUGAAAGACGGUCUUGCUGUCACUUAUAGAUGGAUCCGCGCUGCAUUAGCUAGUUGGUAAGGUAACGGCUUACCAAGGCAACGAUGCAUAGCCGACCUGAGAGGGUGAUCGGACACACUGGAACUGAGACACGGUCCAGACUCCUACGGGAGGCAGCAGUAGGGAAUCUUCCGCGAUGGGCGAAAGCCUGACAGAGCAACGCCGCGUGAGUGAUGAAGGUCUUCGGAUCGUAAAGCUCUGUAAGUAGGGAGGAAGAUAUGUGUAAGUAACUGUGCACAUCUUGACGGUACCUAAUCAGAAAGCCACGGCUAACUACGUG
rnacentral:rRNA from 1 species